UGGGGGAUAUUGCACAAUGGGCGAAAGCCUGAUGCAGCGACGCCGCGUGGGGGAUGAAGGCCUUCGGGUUGUAAACUUCUUUUGCUCUGAACAAGGCAUGCCUUUGGGGUGUGUUGAGUGUAGGGGUUGAUUAGCGCCGGCUAACUACGUGCCAGCAGCCGCGGUAAUACGUAGGGCGCGAGCGUUGUCCGGUAUUAUUGGGCGUAAAGGGCUUGUAGGUGGCUGGUUGCGUCUGUCGUGAAAGCUCAUGGCUUAACUGUGGGUUUGCGGUGGGUACGGGCUGGCUUGAGUGCAGUAGGGGAGGCUGGAAUUCCUGGUGUAGCGGUGGAAUGCGCAGAUAUCAGGAGGAAUACCGGUGGCGAAGGCGGGUCUCUGGGCUGUUACUGACGCUGAGGAGCGAAAGCGUGGGGAGCGAACAGG
rnacentral:rRNA from 1 species